rnacentral:rRNA from 1 species
GUUGGGUAGGGGAGCGUUCUGUAAGCCUGCGAAGGUGGCCUGUGAGGGUUGCUGGAGGUAUCAGAAGUGCGAAUGCUGACAUAAGUAACGAUAAAGCGGGUGAAAAGCCCGCUCGCCGGAAGACCAAGGGUUCCUGUCCAACGUUAAUCGGGGCAGGGUGAGUCGACCCCUAAGGCGAGGCCGAAAGGCGUAGUCGAUGGGAAACGGGUUAAUAUUCCCGUACUUGGUGUUACUGCGAAGGGGGGACGGAGAAGGCUAUGUUGGCCGGGCGACGGUUGUCCCGGUUUAAGCAUGUAGGCGGAGGUUCCAGGUAAAUCCGGUACCUUAUUAACGCUGAGGUGUGAUGACGAGGCACUACGGUGCUGAAGCAACAAAUGCCCUGCUUCCAGGAAAAGCCUCUAAGCAUCAGGUAACAUCAAAUCGUACCCCAAACCGACACAGGUGGUCAGGUAGAGAAUACCAAGGCGCUUGAGAGAACUCGGGUGAAGGAACUAGGCAAAAUGGUGCCGUAACUUCGGGAGAAGGCACGCUGACACGUAGGUGAAGUGGUUUACCCAUGGAGCUGAAGUCAGUCGAAGAUACCAGCUGGCUGCAACUGUUUAUUAAAAACACAGCACUGUGCAAACACGAAAGUGGACGUAUACGGUGUGACGCCUGCCCGGUGCCGGAAGGUUAAUUGAUGGGGUCAGCGCAAGCGAAGCUCCUGAUCGAAGCCCCGGUAAACGGCGGCCGUAACUAUAACGGUCCUAAGGUAGCGAAAUUCCUUGUCGGGUAAGUUCCGACCUGCACGAAUGGCGUAAUGAUGGCCAGGCUGUCUCCACCCGAGACUCAGUGAAAUUGAACUCGCUGUGAAGAUGCAGUGUACCCGCGGCAAGACGGAAAGACCCCGUGAACCUUUACUAUAGCUUGACACUGAACAUUGAGCCUUGAUGUGUAGGAUAGGUGGGAGGCUUUGAAGCGUGGACGCCAGUCUGCGUGGAGCCGGCCUUGAAAUACCACCCUUUAAUGUUUGAUGUUCUAACGUGGACCCGUAAUCCGGGUUGCGGACAGUGUCUGGUGGGUAGUUUGACUGGGGCGGUCUCCUCCUAAAGAGUAACGGAGGAGCACGAAGGUUGGCUAAUCCUGGUCGGACAUCAGGAGGUUAGUGCAAUGGCAUAAGCCAGCUUGACUGCGAGCGUGACGGCGCGAGCAGGUGCGAAAGCAGGUCAUAGUGAUCCGGUGGUUCUGAAUGGAAGGGCCAUCGCUCAACGGAUAAAAGGUACUCCGGGGAUAACAGGCUGAUACCGCCCAAGAGUUCAUAUCGACGGCGGUGUUUGGCACCUCGAUGUCGGCUCAUCACAUCCUGGGGCUGAAGUAGGUCCCAAGGGUAUGGCUGUUCGCCAUUUAAAGUGGUACGCGAGCUGGGUUUAGAACGUCGUGAGACAGUUCGGUCCCUAUCUGCCGUGGGCGCUGGAAGACUGAGGGGGGCUGCUCCUAGUACGAGAGGACCGGAGUGGACGCAUCACUGGUGUUCGGGUUGUCAUGCCAAUGGCACUGCCCGGUAGCUAAAUGCGGAAGAGAUAAGUGCUGAAAGCAUCUAAGCACGAAACUUGCCCCGAGAUGAGUCUUCCCUGAGACUUUAAGUCUCCUGAAGGAACGUUGA